rnacentral:rRNA from 1 species
UACGAAGGGGGCUAGCGUUGCUCGGAAUCACUGGGCGUAAAGGGUGCGUAGGCGGGACUUUAAGUCAGGGGUGAAAUCCUGGAGCUCAACUCCAGAACUGCCUUUGAUACUGAAGAUCUUGAGUUCGGGAGAGGUGAGUGGAACUGCGAGUGUAGAGGUGAAAUUCGUAGAUAUUCGCAAGAACACCAGUGGCGAAGGCGGCUCGCUGGCCCGAUACUGACGCUGAGGCACGAAAGCGUGGGGAGCAAACAGG